rnacentral:rRNA from 1 species
UCCUACGGGAGGCAGCAGUGGGGAAUAUUGCACAAUGGGGGAAACCCUGAUGCAGCCAUGCCGCGUGUGUGAAGAAGGCCUUCGGGUUGUAAAGCACUUUCAGUUGUGAGGAAAAGUUAGUAGUUAAUACCUGCUAGCCGUGACGUUAACAACAGAAGAAGCACCGGCUAACUCCGUGCCAGCAGCCGCGGUAAUACGGAGGGUGCGAGCGUUAAUCGGAAUUACUGGGCGUAAAGCGCACGCAGGCGGUUUGUUAAGCUAGAUGUGAAAGCCCCGGGCUCAACUUGGGAUGGUCAUUUAGAACUGGCAGACUAGAGUCUUGGAGAGGGGAGUGGAAUUUCAGGUGUAGCGGUGAAAUGCGUAGAUAUUAGGAGGAACAUCAGUGGCGAAGGCGACUCCCUGGCCAAAGACUGACGCUCAUGUGCGAAAGUGUGGGUAGCGAACAGGAUUAGAUACCCUGGUAGUCCACACCGUAAACGCUGUCUACUAGCUGUUUGUGAGUUUAACUCGUGAGUAGCGAAGCUAACGCGCUAAGUAGACC